rnacentral:rRNA from 1 species
CGAGUCGAGAGGGUUCGGCCCUCGGCAGACUGUUCAGUAACACGUGGAUAAUCUACCCUUAGGCGGAGGAUAACCUCGGGAAACUGAGAAUAAUACUCCAUAGAUCUAAGAUGCUGGAAUGCACUUAGUUUGAAAGCUCCGGCACCUAAGGAUGAGUCUGCGGACUAUCAGGUUGUAGUCAGGGUAAUGACCUGACUAGCCUCCGACGGAUACGGGUUGUGAGAGCAAUCGCCCGGAGACGAUAUCUGAGACACGAUAUCGGGCCCUACGGGGCGCAGCAGGCGCGAAACCUUCACAAUGUGCGAAAGCACGAUGAGGGGAUCCCAAGUGCUGGCUCGUAAGAGUCAGCUGUUUCUAUGUCUAAAAAAUAUAGAGAGUAAGAGCUGGGUAAGACGGGUGCCAGCCGCCGCGGUAAUACCUGCAGCUCAAGUGGUGGCCGCUAUUAUUGGGCCUAAAACGUCCGUAGCCGGUUUAAUAAAAUGCCUGGGUAAAUUGCGUAGCUUAACUAUACGAAUACCGGGUAGACUGCUAGACUUGGGACCGGGAGAGGCUAGAGGUACUCCUAGGGUAGAGGUGAAAUUCU